rnacentral:rRNA from 1 species
CGGACGGGUGAGUAACGCGUGAGGAACCUGCCUCAGAGUGGGGGAUAACACACCGAAAGGUGUGCUAAUACCGCAUAACAUAUGGGAGGGGCAUCCCUUUCAUAUCAAAGAUUUAUUGCUCUGAGAUGGCCUCGCGUCCAAUUAGCUAGUUGGCGGGGUAACGGCCCACCAAGGCGACGAUUGGUAGCCGGACUGAGAGGUUGAACGGCCACAUUGGGACUGAGACAUGGCCCAGACUCCUACGGGAGGCAGCAG